CCUCCUUCUAUCCCGACGUCGUCUACCACGACUUUCGGACUCGCUACGUAGGCGAGUCACUGACCCGAUGAAAAUUAGGGAACGGUCAGGAGGCCUACCUGCGAUGUCCUCCGUAUACCUACACAUCUUCAGGCGUAAAAAAAGAAACAUGACCGCCGUCGAACGAUAUGUGCCGCAUGGGUCUAUGAAGAAUGAUCAGAAGUCCACAGACGUUCGGUACAAACAUAAAUAUAUUGAACGUUAGUAUAUUUAUUCGUGAGCAUCGAGUCCUCACCUUUGCCAACAUCGGUUGCUACACAACUCACGUGGUUACUCGUCGGUUAAUUUUAACAGCUUUGUAGAUUUUUACGGUGAAUAUAGGCGAAAAAUUCUUUGUUUGAA